GGGAGUUACAAUAUGUUCCAGGGAUCAUAAGGACCGGAUAUCCUUUGCACCUCGGCCUGGAUGCUGCAUUGUACUACAUGCAGUUGGACCUUUUGCAAAGUUGAACCGGCUACACACCAGCUUCUGGGAAAUGCAGAUGGGCUCCGGGUAGGGAAAGUGUUUAAAAUGCAAAAGAGAAGUGACAAGAGGUUUUAAAAGGAAUGUCUGUUUUUUAGCAUCUGCUGGUUUGAGACUUUGUGGCAGGGAAAGUGGGUGGAAGGAGCCUUCUGUCUCAAAACCUCCACAGCAGGUUUAUCCAGUGGCAAUAAAAUACAAUAUUUAACAGAGUGAACAUAAUCAACCUCAGCUUAGACACUGAAGGGCUGACUUUGCUGCUUCAGAGAAUUUGGCCCUGGAUCUUAGAGAAAAUUGAAGGGAAAGCAACAAGAAGAAGAAGCUUGCAGCAGGUGUGCCUCCAACACUUCUUGGAAUAGUGAGAAGAAAAUGACAAAGACGACUGGAAUAAACAGACUUCAGAUAUGUGCAGUUUCCUCGUGCAGACAAUACAGGGGGAAAGAAAAAUUAUUUGAAAGCUGCAAGAGUCUUACCAGAGAUGUCAAGGGGAGCCUUUGCAUUUGUUUCAAUGAGAUUGGAUCAGGCCCCUUGUGGGAGCCAUAACGAAGUUUAUUUCCAGUUGAUUUACUAUUCUGUGACUCUAUAUGUAAAAUUAUGCUACCACCAUGAGCAAAGGGAAGAUUAUACAGUCAGAGCCCAUCUGAAUUUAACAUGAAAGAAAAAUCAUGCUUAGCCAAACUCUAAAAGGAAAUAUGUUUGUAACCUUUCUGUGUAUCUUCCUCUCAACCCCAGGCUGUCUCCCCUGUAAAAAAAAGUGUGUGAAUAGUUAAUCUGAGAUAGUUAGUCCAAGGUAAAAACUACAGUGCCUUGUCUUCGCUAAAGUCUUUCACUGAGAUGGCUAAGAGGUAAACACCUGGUAGUGGAGAGAAUACGAUAGACUUUGAUUAGCUAUAUCAGGGUAAAAACUACCCAUGCCUUAUCUCCAUGAGGAUUUUACAUCGAGAUGAUCAUCUUUAUGCAGAAAUACCCAUUUUUGCAGUGAAGGUAAAGCAGGAGUGACACAGGUCAUUCCUUGUGAGCAGACAUAAGCCAGGCAAGGAGUCUAUCUUCUGAGUAUUAUUCAUGAAUAAUUGUUACCUUAUUGUUACCUAAACCUUAGCCUACCAUAGGCCUGUUGUGUGUAAGUAGGGAAACAAGAUGGGGCAUGUUCAUGAUACAGAAAUAGCAGGCGUAAAGAAAGGUAGACGGAAAAGGUCCCUUGAGUUUACAGAUUAGUAGAGGUGGUUGAAAGUUUUUGAUUGAGAGUAGAAUGAAAAUUUUCACUGAAAACUCAAUUUUCAAAACACCCAAAAACUUCAGAUGAAAAUUUGUGUCAAUUUUGGGGGGUUCCCUGACCAGCUCUUGUUUGCCUAAUGUUUGAUCGUUGAAAAAAGUAGUAAAAUUUUUAGAAUUUUUCCAAAUUAACCCCCCGCCAGUAAUAAUAAAAUAAAAUUGAAAGAUUCAUAUGAAAUUUGAUUACUGUGUUUUUCAAAAAGUGCUAUAAAUUAGAAAGAACUUAAAUAAACAACAUAAAAGCAUAGGAACAUAGCUUUCAAAUCUUCCUGAUUUGGAGGGACAUCACUCAUUGCAGUUCCAUAUUCCAUACCAGGGGUGGCGAAUCUGAGCCUGAGAAGGAGCCAGAAUUUACCAAUGUACGUUGCCAAAGAGCCACAGUAAUACGUCAGCAGCCCCCCAUCAGCUCCCCCCCCCACCGCUCCCAGCACUUCCCACCCACCCCGCUGAUCAGCGCCUCCCCCUCCCUCAUUCCCUCCCCGCAUCUCCCGAUCAGCUGUUUUGUGGCAUACAGGAGGCUCUAGUGGGGGUAGGGCCUGUGGCAGAGCCAGGGGUUGAGCAGUGAGCACUCCUUGGCACAUUGGAAAGUUGGCACCUGUAGCUCCAGCCCCGGAGUCGGUGCCUAUACAAGGAGCCGCGUAUUAACUUCUGAAGAGCCUCAUGUCCGGAGCCACAGGUUGGCCACCCCUGUUCUAUACAAACGAUGUUCCCUCACUUUUAGUGCGGAAAAUAUUUACAUCUAAAAUAAAGAAUCACAAAAUAAAGCCUAUUUAUUCUGAAAGAAAGAAUUCCCACUUGCCCACAUCACUCAGCUAGAACACCACCAUAUUCUGAAUAUGUGCAGUACGACAGCUUAUAUACGCUACAACCCUUACAACAGUCCGGGAAGUAUAUAUUUUUAAUGACAGGAAACAGUAGGAACUGGGGUCUUCCUGAGCAUUUUAUUAUCAUUAAAUAGGCUUCCACCAGGAGCUGGCGAUGAUGUCAGAGGUUACAUUUUCAGAGGAGUUUUAAUGCAGUUGCAAUACCAUAUUUCUUAGCCCCAAUACUCAAUAGAGAAGAAGGGCAGCAGGAAGUCAUGGCUGAAUAAGGAGGAGGAAGACAAUGACUAGCUGUCUGGUUUUUCUCCCAUUAUCAGAUUGUAACUUCACAGUAGCAGCUUCUAUUGCAAAUUCCUUGUAACUCUCCAGAUUAGCUUUCAAGUGUGCCUCCCUAAUGAUGGCAAACUGCCGACUGAGUAAGGGAGAUAAAUAUGUAACAGGAAGGCUCUUUCAGGUUGGAAAAACUUGUGUCCUUAUUAAAUCACUUACCUGUAUUGCCCAUCUAUUCUACUAGCACCAUCUGUUUUAUAACUAUGUCUUCAGGUUAUCUUGUUCCCUGAUAAAGAGAAUGUUUAUUGAUUUAUAUUACAGCAGCACAUAGAAUUCGCAACAAAAAUUAGAGUCCCAUUGUGAAUGUUUGAUUGAUACCUGUCUGACUGUUACUGACAUGUGUGACUUUUAAUGGUUCUAUUUCAAACAAAUAUAUCAUCAACCCCCACCGCU